rnacentral:rRNA from 1 species
UCAAGCUACAAAGAGCACAAGGGGAAUGCCUUGGCACCGAGAGCCGAAGAAGGACGUGACUAACUGCGAUAAGCUGCGGGGAGCCGUAAGUAGGCUUUGAUCCGCAGAUUUCCGAAUGGAGCAAUCCGGCAAGAGGAAAGUCUUGUCAUCAUAUACUGAAUACAUAGGUAUAUGAGGGGAACCGCCUGAACUGAAACAUCUAAGUAGGGCGAGGAAGAGAAAUCAACCGAGAUUCCGCUAGUAGUGGCGAGCGAACGCGGAAGAGGCCAAACCAGCGGUAGAAAUACCGUUGGGGUUACGGACUAGUACAAGUAUCGCAGAGUCUAGCUGAAGUGUGUGGGAAAGCACGCCGAAGAAUGUGAGAGCCAUGUAAGCGAAAGACGAAGCGAGCGACUAGAAUCCAGAGUACGGCUGGGCACGUGAAACCCGGUCGGAAGUCGGGGGGACCACCCUCCAAGCCUAAAUACUACCCAGUGACCGAUAGCGUAUAGUACUGUGAAGGAAAGGUGAAAAGCACCCCGGGAGGGGAGUGAAAAAGAACCUGAAACCCUGUGCCUACAAGCACCUAGAGCGCGUCAAAGCGUGAUAGGGUACUUUUUGUAGAACGGUCCGGCGAGCGAUUGUAUGCAGCAAGGUUAAGGACUUAAGGUCUGGAGCCGAAGCGAAAGCGAGUUUGAAAAGGGCGUUAAGUUGCAUAUAAUGGGCCCGAAACCGGGUGACCUACCCAUGGUCAGGUUGAAGUGGAAGUAAAAUUCCAUGGAGGACCGAACCGACCUCCGUUGAAAAGGCGGCGGAUGAACUGUGGGUAGCGGAGAAAUUCCAAUCGAACCCGGAGAUAGCUGGUUCUCUCCGAAAUAGCUUUAGGGCUAGCCUUGAAAUAGAUUACCGGAGGUAAAGCACUGAAUUGGCUAGGGGCCGAGAGGUUACUGAACCUUAUCAAACUAAGAAUGCCGGAUAAUCGUUUUUCAGGAGUCAGACAGUGGGAGAUAAGUUUCAUUGUCAAAAGGGAAACAGCCCAGACCCACAGCUAAGGUCCCCAAGUAUAGUUAAGUGGAAAAGGAUGUGGAAUUGCACAGACAACCAGGAUGUUGGCUUAGAAGCAGCCACUCAUUAAAAGAGUGCGUAAUAGCUCACUGGUCGAGUGACUCUGCGCGGAAAAUGUAACGGGGCUAAGCGUAUAACCGAAGCUUGGGAUUGCCGCAAGGCAGUGGUAGGGGAGCGUUCUGUACGGGGCGAAGUCGCAGCGAGAGCAGCGGUGGACUGUACAGAAGUGAGAAUGCCGGAAUGAGUAGCGAGAAUUAUGUGGGAAUCAUAAUGGCCGAAAAUCUAAGGUUUCUUGGGGAAGGUUCGUCCGCCCAAGGUAAGCCGGGAGCUAAGGCGAGGCCGCGAGGCGUAGUCGAUGCACAUACGGUAGAAAUUCCGUAGCCACCGAACCUUAAACAUGGAGGACACUUGGAGAUAGCGGGACCCGGGCGUUGGUUGACCCGGGCGAAAGGGAGCGAAAUUAAAGUAGCGAAGUCCGCGAUGCUCUGAGGCGAGAAAAGUCCAUGCGUAUGCUAAGGUGCCCGUACCGCAAACCGACACAGGUAGAUGAGGAGAGAAUCCUAAGGCCAACGGGAGAAGGGUUGUUAAGGAACUCGGCAAGUUGACCCCGUAACUUCGGAAGAAGGGGAGCCCCGAAAGGGGCCGCAGUGAAAAGGCCCAAGCAACUGUUUACCAAAAACACAGGUCUAUGCUAAAUCGAAAGAUGACGUAUAUGGGCUGACGCCUGCCCGGUGCCGGAAGGUUAAGAGGAGAUGUCAGCGCAAGCGAAGCAUUGAAUUGAAGCCCCGGUAAACGGCGGCCGUAACUAUAACGGUCCUAAGGUAGCGAAAUUCCUUGUCGGGUAAGUUCCGACCCGCACGAAUGGUGUAACGAUCUGGGCACUGUCUCAACUACCCACCCGGCGAAAUUGUAGUACCGGUGAAGAUGCCGGUUACCUGCGGCAAGACGGAAAGACCCCAUGGAGCUUUACUGUAGCCUGAUAUUGGGUUUCGGAAAUCUAUGUACAGGAUAGGCGGGAGACUUGGAAACAUGAGCGUCAGCUUGUGUGGAGUCGAUGUUGGGAUACCGCCCUUAGGUUUCUGGAAUUCUAACCUGCGGCCGUGAAUCCGGUCGGGGGACAUUGUCAGGUGGGCAGUUUGACUGGGGCGGUCGCCUCCGAAAAAGUAACGGAGGCGCUCAAAGGUUAGCUCAGCACGGACGGAAACCGUGCCUCUGAGUGUAAACGCAAAAGCUAGCCUAACUGCGAGGGUGACGGCCCGAGCAGUAACGAAAGUUGGAGUUAGUGAUCCGGCGGUAUGUGAAUGGAAAUGCCGUCGCUCAACGGAUAAAAGCUACCCUGGGGAUAACAGGCUGAUCUCCCCCAAGAGUCCACAUCGACGGGGAGGUUUGGCACCUCGAUGUCGGCUCAUCACAUCCUGGGGCUGUAUUCGGUCCCAAGGGUUCGGCUGUUCGCCGAUUAAAGUGGUACGCGAGCUGGGUUCAGAACGUCGCGAGACAGUUCGGUCCCUAUCUGUCGUGGGCGCAGGAUAUUUGAGGAGCUCUGUCCUUAGUACGAGAGGACCGGGAUGGACGUACCUCUGGUGCACCAGUUGUCAUGCCAAUGGCACGGCUGGGCAGCUAUGUACGGAACGGAUAAACGCUGAAAGCAUCUAAGCGUGAAGCCGACUCCAAGAUUAGAUAUCCCAUCGUAUAACGAGUAAGACCCCUUGAAGACUACGAGGUUGAUAGGCUGCGUGUGUAAGUGCCGUGAGGCAUUCAGCUUGGCAGUACUAAUAGGUCGAGGGCUUGACCAC